AUGGGGAGUUCCAAUCGCCAUUGCUCCAUUUCCUUAGCUGUCCUCUUGGUCUUUGCUUCCCUGCUGCUCAACGCUGAUCUAGGGUCGUGCGGCUGCUUCAAGCGUAUCUUCUCCUUCGGCGACUCCAUCAUUGACACCGGCAACUUCGCAUACACCAUCCGCAACAGACCACCGAGUCCACCCUCGGUGCUUCCUUAUGGAGAGACCUACUUCCACCACCCCACGGGCCGCGCCUCUGACGGGCGUCUCAUCAUCGACUUCUAUGCGCAAGCGUUGGGCCUGCCGCUGCUGCCGCCGAGCUUGCCCGAGGAGAAGACGGGGCAGUUCACCACUGGUGCCAACUUUGCCGUGUUCGGCGCUAUGGCGCUGAACCCGAACUACUUCAAGUCCAGGUAUAACUUGAGUGUACCGUUUCCAUGGAGCCUCAACGAUCAGCUUGCUAGUUUCAACAAAGUGCUCACACGGAUUGCUCCAGGAGAUGCUGCAACAAAGAGGCUCCUGAGCGAGUCCCUGGUCGUCUUUGGUGAGAUUGGGGGCAAUGACUACAACUUUUGGUUCUUUGACUCUGAGCUCAGCAAGGACAGAAACACGCCCCUCCAGUAUAUGCCCGAUAUUAUCGACCGCAUCGGAGCCGGCGUGCAGAAGGUGAUCAACCUCGGCGCCAAGACGAUCCUUGUCCCGGGGAACUUCCCCAUCGGGUGCGUGCCGGUCUACCUUAGUACUCACAAGAGCAAUACAUCUGCCGACUACGACCAGUUCGGCUGCCUCGCGUGGUUCAACGCGUUCUCUCGGAGGCACAACCAGCUGUUGAAGCAGGAGAUCGGCCGGCUCAAGUCCCGGAACCCCAGCGUGAAGAUCAUCUACGCAGACUACUACGGCGCCUUCAUGGAGUUCGUCAAGAAUCCCAACAGGAAUGGCAUUGACAGCCCUCUCGUGGCGUGCUGUGGUGGUAACGGGCCCUGCGGCACCGGCCUUCCGUGCGACCGGAACGCCAAGGUUUGCCGCGACCCAUCAAGGUUCGCCAACUGGGACCAGGUUCACAUGACGGAAAAGGCAUACAGUGUCAUCGCCAGUGGGGUGCUCAAUGGCCCGUAUGCGGACAUCCCUUUGCUCCACGCAUGCUAG
rnacentral:rRNA from 1 species